CUGGGCGUAAGGGCGCGUAGGCGGUUGUGUGAGUGUGAUGUGAAAGCCCCGGGCUUAACCUGGGAAGUGCAUCGCAAACGACAUAACUGGAGUAGGUGAGAGGGUGGCGGAAUUUCCGGUGUAGCGGUGAAAUGCGUAGAGAUCGGAAGGAACGUCAAUGGCGAAGGCAGCCACCUGGCACCAUACUGACGCUGAGGCGCGAAAGCGUGGGGAGCGAACAGGAUUAGAUACCCUGGUAGUCCACGCCGUAAACGAUGAGAACUAAAUGUUGGAGGGGGAACCCUUCAGUAUUGAAGCUAACGCGAUAAGUUCUCCGCCUGGGAAGUACAGUCGCAAGACUGAAACUCAAAAGAAUUGACGGGGGCCCGCACAAGCGGUGGAGCAUGUGGUUUAAUUCGAUGCAACGCGAAGAACCUUACCUACCCUUGACAUCCUGCGAAUCCCGAUGAGAGUUGGGAGUGCCGCAAGGAGCGCAGAGACAGGUGCUGCAUGGCUGUCGUCAGCUCGUGUUGUGAGAUGUUGGGUUAAGUCCCGUAACGAGCGCAACCCUUGUCCUUAGUUGCCAUCAUUUAGUUGGGGACUCUAAGGAGACUGCCGGUGAUGAACCGGAGGAAGGCGGGGACGACGUCAAGUCAUCAUGGCCUUUAUGGGUAGGGCUACACACGUGCUACAAUGGGGCGUACAGAGGGUCGCCAACCCGCGAGGGGGAGCCAAUCUCUUAAAGCGUCUCGUAGUCCGGAUCGGAGUCUGCAACUCGACUCCGUGAAGUCGGAAUCGCUAGUAAUCGCGAAUCAGCAUUGUCGCGGUGAAUACGUUCCCGGGCCCUGUACACACCGCCCGUCACGUCAUGGAAGUAGACGGUACCAGAAGCAGAUAGUUUAUCCGCAAGGGGG
rnacentral:rRNA from 1 species